AGUCAAGUAAUUAAGUGCAUGUGGUGGAUGCCUUGGCAGUCAGAGGCGAUGAAAGACGUGAUAGCCUGCGAAAAGCUCCGGGGAGGCGGGCAAAUAUCCUUUGAUCCGGAGAUGUCUGAAUGGGGGAACCCACCUACUUUAAGGUAGGUAUUGCAACAUGAAUACAUAGUGUUGCAAGGCGAACGAGGGGAAGUGAAACAUCUCAGUACCCUUAGGAAAAGAAAUCAAUUGAGAUUCCCUCAGUAGCGGCGAGCGAACGGGGAUCAGCCCAUUAAGUUAUGUGUGUUUUAGUGGAACGCUCUGGGAAGUGCGAACGUAGAGGGUGAUAUUCCCGUACACGAAAGGGCACACAUAAUGAUGACGAGUAGGGCGAGGCACGUGAAACCUUGUCUGAAUAUGGGGGGACCAUCCUCCAAGGCUAAAUACUCCUGACUGACCGAUAGUGAACCAGUACCGUGAGGGAAAGGCGAAAAGAACCCCUGUGAGGGGAGUGAAAUAGAUCCUGAAACCGCAUGCAUACAAGCAGUGGGAGCACCUUCGUGGUGUGACUGCGUACCUUUUGUAUAAUGGGUCAGCGACUUAUAUUCAGUAGCGAGGUUAACCGUAUAGGGGAGCCGUAGAGAAAUCGAGUCUUAAUAGGGCGUUUAGUUGCUGGGUAUAGACCCGAAACCAGGCGAUCUAUCCAUGAGCAGGUUGAAGGUUGGGUAACACUAACUGGAGGACCGAACCCACUGUCGUUGAAAAGCCAGGGGAUGACUUGUGGAUAGGGGUGAAAGGCUAAUCAAGCCUGGUGAUAGCUGGUUCUCCCCGAAAGCUAUUUAGGUAGCGCCUCGGACGAAUACCAUAGGGGGUAGAGCACUGUUUCGGCUAGGGGGUCAUCCCGACUUACCAAACCGAUGCAAACUCCGAAUACCUAUGAGUACUAUCCGGGAGACAGACUGCGGGUGCUAACGUCCGUAGUCAAGAGGAAAACAAUCCAGACCGCCAGCUAAGGCCCCAAAAUCAUAGUUAAGUGGGAAACGAUGUGGGAAGGCAUAGACAGCUAGGAGGUUGGCUUAGAAGCAGCCACCCUUUAAAGAAAGCGUAAUAGCUCACUAGUCGAGUCGGCCUGCGCGGAAGAUGUAACGGGGCUAAAACUAUGUGCCGAAGCUGCGGAUGUAUACUUUGUAUACGUGGUAGGGGAGCGUUCUGUAAGCCGAUGAAGGUGUGUUGAGAAGCAUGCUGGAGGUAUCAGAAGUGCGAAUGCUGACGUGAGUAACGACAAAACGGGUGAAAAACCCGUUCGCCGAAAGACCAAGGGUUCCAGUCCAACGUUAAUCGGGGCUGGGUGAGUCGACCCCUAAGGCGAGGCCGAAAGGCGUAGUCGAUGGGAAAAUGGUUAAUAUUCCAUUACUUCUGUGUAAUGCGAUGAGAGGACGGAGAAGGCUAAAUCAGCCUGGCGUUGGUUGUCCAGGUGAAAGGAUGUAGGCAUGUAUCUUAGGCAAAUCCGGGGUACUCUAUGCUGAGAUCUGAUAGCAAGCUGUACUUGUACAGCGAAGUGGUUGAUGCCAUGCUUCCAGGAAAAGUCUCUAAGCUUCAGUUACACAGGAAUCGUACCCGAAACCGACACAGGUGGUCAGGUCGAGUAGACCAAGGCGCUUGAGAGAACUCUGCUGAAGGAACUAGGCAAAAUGGUACCGUAACUUCGGGAGAAGGUACGCUGUUGUUGGUGAUGGAACUCGCUUCCUGAGCUGACGACAGCCGCAGAAACCAGGCCGCUGCAACUGUUUAUUAAAAACAUAGCACUCUGCAAACACGAAAGUGGACGUAUAGGGUGUGAUGCCUGCCCGGUGCUGGAAGGUUAAUUGAUGGGGUUAGCGUAAGCGAAGCUCUUGAUCGAAGCCCCAGUAAACGGCGGCCGUAACUAUAACGGUCCUAAGGUAGCGAAAUUCCUUGUCGGGUAAGUUCCGACCUGCACGAAUGGCAUAAUGAUGGCGGCGCUGUCUCCAGCAGAGGCUCAGUGAAAUCGAAAUCGCUGUGAAGAUGCAGUGUACCCGCGGCUAGACGGAAAGACCCCGUGAACCUUUACUGCAGCUUGACACUGAACUUUGACCUUACUUGUGUAGGAUAGGUGGGAGGCUUUGAAGCUGGAACGCUAGUUCCAGUGGAGCCGUCCUUGAAAUACCACCCUGGUAAUGUUGAGGUUCUAACUCUGUCCCGUGAUCCGGGACGAGGACCGUGUCUGGUGGGUAGUUUGACUGGGGCGGUCUCCUCCUAAAGAGUAACGGAGGAGUACGAAGGUGCGCUCAGCGUGGUCGGAAAUCACGCGUAGAGUAUAAAGGCAAAAGCGCGCUUAACUGCGAGACCCACAAGUCGAGCAGGUACGAAAGUAGGUCUUAGUGAUCCGGUGGUUCUGUAUGGAAGGGCCAUCGCUCAACGGAUAAAAGGUACUCUGGGGAUAACAGGCUGAUACCGCCCAAGAGUUCAUAUCGACGGCGGUGUUUGGCACCUCGAUGUCGGCUCAUCUCAUCCUGGGGCUGAAGCAGGUCCCAAGGGUAUGGCUGUUCGCCAUUUAAAGAGGUACGCGAGCUGGGUUUAGAACGUCGUGAGACAGUUCGGUCCCUAUCUACCGUGGGCGCUGGAAAUUUGAGAGGAUCUGCUCCUAGUACGAGAGGACCAGAGUGGACGAACCUCUGGUGUACCGGUUGUGACGCCAGUCGCAUCGCCGGGUAGCUAUGUUCGGAAGGGAUAACCGCUGAAAGCAUCUAAGCGGGAAGCCUACCUCAAGAUAAGAUUUCCCUAGGACUUUAUGUCCUCUAAAGAGCCGUUCGAGACUAGGACGUUGAUAGGUUGGAUGUGGAAGCAUAGUGAUAUGUGAAGCUGACCAAUACUAAUUGCUCGUGAGGCUUGACUAUACAACACCC
rnacentral:rRNA from 1 species